rnacentral:rRNA from 1 species
GAUGAACGCUAGCUACAGGCUUAACACAUGCAAGUCGAGGGACCGGCGCACGGGUGAGUAACACGUAUACAACCUACCCUUUACUCGGGGAUAGCCUUUCGAAAGAAAGAUUAAUACCCAAUCUAAAGGAUGGGGAUGCGUUCCAUUAGGUUGUUGGUGAGGUAACUGCCCACAAAGCCUGCGAUGGAUAGGGGUGCUGAGAGGAAGGUUCCCCACAUUGGAACUGCGACACGGUCCAAACUCUUACGGGAGGCAGCAGGUAGGAAGAUUGGUCAAUGGGCGCUAGCCUGAACCAGCCAAGUAGCGUGAAGGAUGAAGGCUUAUGGGUCGUAAACUUCUUUUAUAUAAGAAUAGGUAUUAUAUGAAUAAGGAUCGGCUAACUCCGUGCCAGCAGCCGCGGUAAUAC